rnacentral:rRNA from 1 species
CCAGACUCCUACGGGAGGCAGCAGUGGGGAAUAUUGCACAAUGGGGGAAACCCUGAUGCAGCGACGCCGCGUGAGUGAAGAAGUAUUUCGGUAUGUAAAGCUCUAUCAGCAGGGAAGAAAAUGACGGUACCUGACUAAGAAGCCCCGGCUAACUACGUGCCAGCAGCCGCGGUAAUACGUAGGGGGCAAGCGUUAUCCGGAUUUACUGGGUGUAAAGGGAGCGUAGACGGCAUGGCAAGUCAGAUGUGAAAGCCCGGGGCUCAACCCCGGGACUGCAUUUGAAACUGUCAGGCUGGAGUGCAGGAGAGGUAAGUGGAAUUCCUAGUGUAGCGGUGAAAUGCGUAGAUAUUAGGAGGAACACCAGUGGCGAAGGCGGCUUGCUGGACAGUAACUGACGUUGAGGCUCGAAAGCGUGGGGAGCAAACAGGAUUAGAUACCCCGGUAC